rnacentral:rRNA from 1 species
GACGUAGGGUGCAAGCGUUAUCCGGAAUGAUUGGGCGUAAAGCGUCCGCAGGUGGCUGUGUAAGUCUGCUGUCAAAGAGCAAAGCUCAACUUUGUAAAGGCAGUGGAAACUACACGGCUAGAGUGCGUUCGGGGCAGAGGGAAUUCCUGGUGUAGCGGUGAAAUGCGUAGAGAUCAGGAAGAACACCGGUGGCGAAGGCGCUCUGCUAGGCCGCAACUGACACUGAGGGACGAAAGCUAGGGGAGCGAACAGG